GCGAGUCGUUGUAGCAAUACAAGGCGGACGGCUCAGUAACACGUAGUCAACCUCACCUAUGGACGUGGAUAACCUCGGGAAACUGAGAAUAGACCGCGAUAGAUCAUGAUGCCUGGAAUGGCUUAUGGUCCAAACAAUUUAUUGCCGUAGGAUGGGACUGCGGCCUAUCAGCUUGUUAGUGAGGUAAUGGCCCACCAAGGCUAUAACAGGUACGGGCUCUGAGAGGAGAAGCCCGGAGAUGGGUACUGAGACACGGACCCAGGCCCUAUGGGGCGCAGCAGGCGAGAAAACUUUGCAAUGUGCGAAAGCACGACAAGGUUAAUCCGAGUGAUUUCUGCUAAAGGAAUCUUUUGUUAGUCCUAAAAACACUAGUGAAUAAGGGGUGGGCAAGUUCUGGUGUCAGCCGCCGCGGUAAAACCAGCACCUCAAGUGGUCAGGAGGAUUAUUGGGCCUAAAGCAUCCGUAGCCGGCUAUGCAAGUCUCCGGUUAAAUCCAACUG
rnacentral:rRNA from 1 species